CAGUCGCCACGGGAACACGAAGGGGGCUAGCGCUGCUCGGAAUGACUGGGCGUAAAGGGCGCGUAGGCGGUCACGAUAGUCAGAUGUGAAAUUCCUGGGCUUAACCUGGGGACUGCAUUUGAUACUGUGUGGCUUGAGUGUGGAAGAGGGUCGUGGAAUUCCCAGUGUAGAGGUGAAAUUCGUAGAUAUUGGGAAGAACACCGGUGGCGAAGGCGGCGACCUGGUCCAUAACUGACGCUGAGGCGCGAAAGCGUGGGGAGCAAACAGGAUUAGAUACCCGAGUAGUCCCUGUCUCUUAUAC
rnacentral:rRNA from 1 species